UACGGAGGGGGCUAGCGUUGUUCGGAAUUACUGGGCGUAAAGCGCACGUAGGCGGACUGUUAAGUCGGGGGUGAAAGCCUGUGGCUCAACCACAGAAUGGCCUCGAUACUGGGACGCUUGAGUAUGGUAGAGGUUGGUGGAACUGCGAGUGUAGAGGUGAAAUUCGUAGAUAUUCGCAAGAACACCGGUGGCGAAGGCGGCCAACUGGACCAUUACUGACGCUGAGGCGCGAAAGCGUGGGGAGCAAACAGG
rnacentral:rRNA from 1 species